UAUUUAGUGCAUGGAAUAUAGAUAUGAUCUCGGUUCUAUUUUGUUGGUUUUCAGAACUCCGAGGUAAUGAUUAAUAGGGAUAACUGGGGGCAUUCGUAUUGCGACGUUAGAGGUGAAAUUCUUGGAUCGUCGCAAGACGAACAUCAGCGAAAGCAUUUGCCAAAGGUGUUUUCAUCAAUCAAGAACGAAAGUUAGAGGUUCGAAGGCGAUUAGAUACCGCCCUAGUUCUAACCGUAAAUAUGUCAUCUAGCGAUCCGCCGACGUUACUACAAUGGCUCGGCGGGCAGCUUCCGGGAAACC
rnacentral:rRNA from 1 species